GAUUUGUAAGGCCUCAGCACACUUGUAACUAAUAAAUGAAUAUAUAUACUACUAAUAUAUGCUCUUCCUUCUUGUGAUAGAACUUGGCAGAAAUAAUUAUUUCUGACCUGCUGAAACCCAGAAAUAUUAUGCAUGUCAACCCUAAAUCUUGAAAAUCAAUUCUUUCCCAAAAAUUUGCUUUGAACAUAGCCAUUUAACUAUUUUUGUUUGGCAAAUAACUUAAAAAAUUAAAAUGUAUGUAUGACCAGUGGAGGUCGGCCAUCAUAAUGUGCUAUAAUAGUUGCUUCAUAAGUCAAAACUGAUUGAUGCAUAUUU
rnacentral:misc_RNA from 1 species